rnacentral:rRNA from 1 species
GUGCCAGCCGCCGCGGUAAUACGGAGGGGGCUAGCGUUGUUCGGAAUUACUGGGCGUAAAGCGCACGUAGGCGGAUCAGAAAGUUGGGGGUGAAAUCCCGGGGCUCAACCUCGGAACUGCCUUCAAAACUAUUGGUCUUGAGUUCGAGAGAGGUGAGUGGAAUUCCGAGUGUAGAGGUGAAAUUCGUAGAUAUUCGGAGGAACACCAGUGGCGAAGGCGGCUCACUGGCUCGAUACUGACGCUGAGGUGCGAAAGCGUGGGGAGCAAACAGGAUU